AGCGUAGGCGGGAAGACAAGUUGGAAGUGAAAUCCAUGGGCUCAACCCAUGAACUGCUUUCGAAACUGUUUUUCUUGAGUAGUGCAGAGGUAGGCGGAAUUCCCGGUGUAGCGGUGGAAUGCGUAGAUAUCGGGAGGAACACCAGUGGCGAAGGCGGCCUACUGGGCACCAACUGACGCUGAGGCUCGAAAGUGUGGGUAGCAAACA
rnacentral:rRNA from 1 species